GGUGCGGUGCGGGGCGGUGCGUGCGGAGCAGAGCGGUGCGGAGCAGGAGGCGGCCCGGGCCGGCGCGGCGCUGCCGCCGCUAGAGGUCUCUCUCGUCACAGCUUUGCCGCCCCUGCGCCCGGUGUUCAAGUGAAGAAAGAAGUAGAUUUUUGAAAUCAGAGAAGACAAUGCUGAGAGUAAAACUACUAGCUUGUAGAAGAGCAUGAUCACUAAACCUGGAGCUUUCCUGCAGUGAGAGUCUUCUUGACUCAAUGUGGAGAGGAGGAUGUUGGAAUGUUAGACCCCACAAUGGCUUUGAUGGAGAUUUCUGGGAAAGACCUGUAACUGCCAAUGUUCAAGGAUGGCUUCUGAGAAGAAGGCCAUCAUGUAUAAGUUCACUUUGCCCAGAGUAAAAGCUAUCCAGGUCAACCAGAGGAAAGCAGCAUUUAAGCUUCAGAUUGGUUUGCCUGGUGUUGGAGCUUGGAGACAAGCAGGAAGAAAUGAAAUGAAACUGUCCUGGUAUCAUCAGCUGCACAAGGACCAGGAAUUCAUCACUAGACAAAAUACUAUGAUCAAGAAUGUAAUUUCCCCUGCUGUGUGACCUGAAGAAAAUUUCAAUAACCACUCUUAUUUUCACAUGAUAAUUCUUCAUCUCUUUUUAUGGACUAUAAAGAGACAGAACUUCAGCACAGAUUCCUACCUCAAGUAUUUGCUGUUUACAAAUCAGAUUUUCUUUUGUUUCUGAGCAUGCUGCUCCAGCAGAGAAUCCUUUGUAAAUCUCUAAUUGCUGUAGGCCACACACUAUCUGAUCCUGGUGGUCUAUGAAGGACAAUAAAAGUAGACUUACAAUAGCCUUCUUUUAAAUAACGCUUGGCACUUGACCAUGAACAUGCAUGCAUUCUGAGGUUUCCAUUUAUUAAAAAUCUAGCACUUUUUAUUGAGAAAAUUAAUGGUUCAAAAUCACAAUGAAAUACCACUAUUACAGCUGAUCUUACCUAGAAAAAUAUGGCACUAAACCUAAUGAGAAUGAAUUGUUCUCUCUCCAUUUUGCAUACACUGCUGACAUCCAUAUGUGGUGUUACAAAAACUGUCUUUGGCCUUUUUAGAAAAAUCUUAAUGUGUAUUUAAAUGAAAACAUAAGUGAGUUACAAUCCUCUGAAGUACUUUAUUCAGUUAACUCUUUUUCCUUCCUCAGUAGGAAGAUUUGAAAUAUAUUGUUUUGCUCCCUGAAAAUAUCUAGUGUGAUUACUAUGAUGAUGCCAUUUGUGCCACUCUGAGUACAUUUAUGUCAUAUUUUUCAUUUAUAACUCCUUGUUUCGGAUUUUUAUGAUUAAACCAUUAUGAGUCCAGUCCUGUAAAAAAGACUUAGACCUGAGUACUGGAAAAAAACAUAUACAUGUGCUUAACUUGACUGCUCAGCAUUGUCCUUAUAGUAAAGUUAAGCAUGAAUGCAAUGCUAUGACCUUCUCUGUUUUAUUAGACAGGCUAACUGCAAUGGGACAACUUGGUUCAUGGAAUUAAGGUUGGGUGUAUUGUAUAAGUCUAAAGCUAGAGUUUUCUCUUGGAUGCAACUACAGGAUCUAAAGUUCAAAUGCAGCAGAUCUAAAAAAAAUGGAAGCAAAUUGUUUCAGUUGUUUUGAUUUUGCAUAAAUGAAAUGUAUGGGUAUGGUGUUAUAUUAGAUGCUUUUUUAGUUUAUGAAACAAAAAAAAGUUAAAAUUAAAUUUUGCAGGUCAUUAGCCUUUUAAAAGCAUAGAAGUUUUAAGACCUAUUGUGAAAAUGCCAGAUAACUCAUAUUUUUUUCAACUGGUCAUUUAUACACAGAUACACCCACAACCUAAUUUUAAAAAUAAUAUAUUUCAUAACUGCUCACAGAUUGUUCUGUAUGUGCAGGAGCCAAAUAGACAUGAAAUUCUGAAAGUGAUUUAAUGGAGCAGUUGUAGUCUAUUGGGGUUAAAAAUCUGUCUGCAGGAAUAUAAAUAUGCAUUUAAAUAAUAGCCCAUAGUAAUUCAAAGAACUCCUAUGCUGUACAGAAGAAAUAGAAUAGUUACUAAUAGGAAGUCAGCUAAGUUGUCAUAAAGAUAUUUGAAAAGCCCCAUGGCAUGUGGGUUCAUAGGUUGGGGAACAAUGCCAUGGAAAACCACAGCUCGCUCCUACCUGGGCUGUCCGCUUGGCUUGCAAAGAGGAGAUUCAACAGCCAGAUUUUUAGCCUCCUGCUCACAUUCCUCUGUGAUUAUUCAUUCACACAAUGAGUCCUAUUAAAACCAAAGGGACUCCUUGGGAGAAUAGCAUUACUUGCCUGUGGGUAAUGGGUUCUUGAUUUGACUCCAAGAAAGUAAGAUUAAGCAACAUUGUGCUGCCCAGCUGUGGUAAAGUGUUUUGGCAAAUUGACUUACAGUCUUGGCAAAUGAGACAUGCUGAAAGGCAUUUACACUGCUUCCAAAUUAGCACAUGCUUGAUCAUCUCUGUUUACCAAAGAGAGUGUCUUCAGUGGGGCAAAUAUACCAAACAGAAGGUUAUAGUCUUUGACAGCAUUUGCGGAUGCAGUUUUCAUAGAUUAAUAUUCAGUUUCCUCCUGUUUUCUCCUUCCUGAUGUAUUACAUAAUUUAAUGGCAUCUCUGAGCUUCUGUGUAAUUUCUGUUCUCAUCCAUUGUAGUCCCAAGCUUGCUAAUAAACAGUCACACAAGCAUCUUACUGAUUACAAAGA